CACCGCGGUUAAACGGGAAUUUGGCUCAAGUUGAUAACCCACGGCGUAAAGAGUGGUAAAGAUAAAUUUAUACUAAAGCCGAACACCUCCUCGGCCGUGAUACGCCUCUGGGGGGAAUGAAGCCCAUCCGCGAAAGCAGCUUUACAAUAUCCGAUCCACGAAAGCUAGGGCA
rnacentral:rRNA from 2 species